GUCGAGCUGCCCCAUUGGCGUACCAGCACUCACGCAUGAUCCGGCCCAUUACUCUGAGUGCCUUGAGAAAAGAGCAAAAGCAGAGUUUGGAGGGCCGCAUCGAAGGAAAGUCGCAUGAUGUCCUCCUGUGGAUUAAACUCUGGCAUUUGAAAGGCCUCUAGGGGUGAACUGCGCCUCACAUUGAGCCCAUUUACUUAACCAGACAGGUAUAUGCAAGCAUUUGGGGGGGUAAGUUUUCAUAUUUUAGUUCAGUUAAAAACAUGCACUUUUAAGAUACACAGUAAAAGUUGCAGUUCAAAGAAGGCGCGAAGCAAGAGAAAAUGUUACCUCACAGCUUUGCCACUGAUUUGGGAUAUUUGGUCUAUGUUUUUGCUCACAGACUACUUUUCUCAUAUCUUCUAUUGAAGGAUCAGAAGGCACAGCAUCAUAGUAAGGUAACUGGUACUCCUCAACAAUUCCUAGAAGAGGAAUGUGGUAAAAAUAUAAAUUUACUAGGGGACUUUCAGUUGUUAUGGGAGCAAAACAUGGACAGAUGUAGUACAGAAACGGCUUCCUGGCACACCUGGGCAAAUAUCCAUUGUGUCAGCAAAUAUAUUCUUGAAAACAUUGUGCUUUUUCCAAAUGCUUCGGUAAAAAAAAAAUCUGUAAAGCCGCAUCCAUGAAGUAUUCAGAAACUUAUUUUCAUUUAGGGCUACAUGGGAAAGUUCUUGAAAUUGCAGGCAAUCAUUCCUGUCAAACUAGCUCUGCAGUACCCACAAUUCGUUCUGUCAGCUUGUUAAGGGGCAGGUGAAGACCCAAUAUGGGCUAAUACAACUCUGGCUUGGAUCCAAAGAAUGAGAGGUAAAAGGAGAUGAUGCAUUUCAGUGGGGGAAAUGUAAUAACGCAACCUAUUAUAUAAUGCAAUAUGACAACCCCUUAUGUUGGAGCCGUAGCCCAGCUCUAUGGUUUUACAAUCCAGUGGGGAUGAGGAAGGGAUCGCGAGGGCCAUCUAGUCCUACCCUUUGCAAUGCAGGAAUCCUGUCCACAGGAUUGAACCCCCAACCUUCCAGUUAAUAGCCAGAUGCACUGACCCAGAACUCUCAAAGACGAAAGAAAGCAUUGCACUUGAGCUAGAUGCAAGCCUGUGGUUGUGGAAGAGUUUGGGGGUGUUUGUGUGGAGUUCAUAUGCUGUGCUUUAAUUAGUAUGGCAAUGUGUUUGAUGCAGGAAGUCUUGGUCAAGUUGGGUAACCUUAAGUGACAGCUGAGAUAGGGGUUGGAGAUUGAACUCUCAGUAUGCAAAAGGAGGGGAGAGAGCGUGCACAUUGCGGUGGAGGGUUGCAGGUUUGGAAUUCCACAAUAGAUGGUGUGAUGGGCUGGGGCUAGAAGGGGCGGCAGAAGAAGUGUCUAUAUGUUUGGGUGCUGGUUGGUCCAUGUGGGUUUGUGCUGGUGUUCUUGGUUGGCAGCCAGAAGAAGAAGACAGCAAAGAGGAAGAGGAUCAAGGAAGAAGAAAGGAGACCUGAGAGGAAGACCAAGUGGUUUGAUGGCUGAAGAUUUGCUGGGGUAGCUGAAUCACUUGACAGGGAGAACUUGUCUACAGGGGCGAGAGGAGUUGGAAAUGCUAGGCUCUGGCGCCUAGUAGGAGCUCCAGAGGAAGGUCUUCCAAGACAAGACAGCAGAAACAGACCCACACUUCAAUAGGGAACCACCGAGAGAAGUUUGAUUCAGGACAACAAUCAAAUCGUAGAUGGCUUUUGGUUUUACCAAUCCUGAAGCAGCAGCUGAAUGGCCUACUAGGGUGUCAUUUUAUUAAUUUCUUAAAUUGAUAUACUGCCCUUCAACCAAGGAUCACUGUUCUCUUUAUAGUUGCAUUUUAUACAUAUGAUAUUUGGAACUCAAUGCUCUUCUGUUAUUAAAGGUAAAGGGACCCCGGACC